AUAUAUAUAUACAGUUGGGAAGGCGGUUUCAACUUUCAACUCCGCUUCACAAUUCACAUCACAAUUCCAUCAUACAAAGCAAUCGCUCUCUAUAACCCUAGGAGACAAUGGAACCGAGGCCAUCUGUGGACCCGUUUGAGGUGGCAUUUAAGGAUGUAGAAGAAUUGCCACCUGAUUCCCCUACUGCUGAUUCUUUGGACAUUGAAAGUCAUAUCCAGACUCCCGCUAAUGUGUUAACACCGCCAGCCGUGAUAGCGUCUGCUGGGACUAAUGCAUCCACUGGCAACAAUGAAGAUGAGGAUGAGGAUGAAGAGGAUGAUAAUGUGGAUGUCAACAUCAGAAAUAUUUCGUAUAAGAGUGACCCUGACAAAGCUGCCAGGACACAGGCUAUCCUCUCACGGUUCACAGAGGAACAGAUGGAGAGGUAUGAGUUCUUUCGGAGGUCUCGAUUUAAAAAAUCCGACAUGAGAAAGUUGUUACUGAGCAUCACUGGAAUGCGGGCAGUUUCCGAGCCAAUGAUAGUUGCAGUGUCAGCGACAGCAAAAAUGUUUGUUGGUGAUAUUGUUGAGACUGCUAGAGUGGUUAUGACUGACUGGAAGGAUUCUGGGCCUAUUCGGCCUUGCCACAUUAGGGAAGCAUAUAGAAGACUAAAGCUUGAAGGCAAAGUACCAAGGAGAUCAGUGCCAAGGCUCUUCUAGUGGAUGGGGUGAGAUACACAGCUUUUGCGCCUGAUUGCUCAGACAUAGAUGACAGCUGAGGUUGGACUGUGAUGGAUAUUGGAGGUGGAAAUUGCAGCUUAGGUUUCUACGUUGUGCUGGUUAUGGCAAAAGACAGAAAGCAAAUGCAUAACUGUUCAGUGAGAAAAGCAAAUCUACAACUGAUGCUAGGAUAUGAAUAAAGAUCAGGUUGCAGUCUCACGGUUGGAUACACAUCAAUAUAUAAAGCAAAGGCCAGGAUUUUUUGUUUUUUUUUUUUUGAUAAGUACAAAGGCCAGGAUUUUUAGCCUUUGUGCUUGGGAACACCUCCUUUUCCAGUACAUACUACAUACCAGUGUAGAAAGUUAAAAAUACAGCUGAAGUCUAAUAUAGUGUGAUGAGCAAUGACUGACAAUUAAGAUUUCUGUCACUAGACUCACUACUCACUAUUAAACAAAAAAUUGCAAGUCUCAAAUGUUGCCCUUUUA